rnacentral:piRNA from 1 species
UGCCUGGUGCUGCUCAGGGAAAGCUUUC